rnacentral:rRNA from 1 species
UACAGAGGUCCCAAGCGUUGUUCGGAUUCAUUGGGCGUAAAGGGUGCGUAGGUGGCGCUGUAAGUGGGGUGUGAAAUUUCGGAGCUUAACUCCGAAACUGCAUUCCAUACUGCGGUGCUUGAGGACUGGAGAGGAGACUGGAAUUUACGGUGUAGCAGUGAAAUGCGUAGAGAUCGUAAGGAAGACCAGUGGCGAAGGCGGGUCUCUGGACAGUUCCUGACACUGAGGCACGAAAGCCAGGGGAGCAAACGGG